UUUUCCCUGCGCUGUUGGUGAUUUGUAGUGUUCUUGAGCCAACUCUCACCCUAAGGGAGCCACCACUGCCCCGCAACGAAAGACCGUCACGUUUCUCGACGCCGGGUAUGCGGAUCCCACCUAUUUCGAUAGGUUCUAAUACGUCCUACAGACACGGCAGGGUGGGGAAAAU
rnacentral:other from 3 species